rnacentral:rRNA from 1 species
GACGUAGGGCGCGAGCGUUGUCCGGAUUUAUUGGGCGUAAAGAGCUCGUAGGCGGCUUGUCGCGUCGUCCGUGAAAACCCACAGCUCAACUGUGGGCUUGCGGUCGAUACGGGCAGGCUAGAGUUCGGUAGGGGAGACUGGAAUUCCUGGUGUAGCAGUGAAAUGCGUAGAUAUCAGGAGGAACACCGAUGGCGAAGGCAGGUCUCUGGGCUGACACUGACGCUCAUGCACGAAAGCGUGGGGAGCAAACAGG